rnacentral:rRNA from 1 species
ACUCCUGCGGGAGGCAGCAGUGGGGAAUAUUGGACAAUGGGCGCAAGCCUGAUCCAGCCAUGCCGCGUGAGUGAUGAAGGCCCUAGGGUUGUAAAGCUCUUUCACCGGUGAAGAUAAUGACGGUAACCGGAGAAGAAGCCCCGGCUAACUUCGUGCCAGCAGCCGCGGUAAUACGAAGGGGGCUAGCGUUGUUCGGAUUUACUGGGCGUAAAGCGCACGUAGGCGGACUAUUAAGUCAGGGGUGAAAUCCCGGGGCUCAACCCCGGAACUGCCUUUGAUACUGGUAGUCUUGAGUUCGAGAGAGGUGAGUGGAAGUCCGAGUGUAGAGGUGAAAUUCGUAGAUAUUCGGAGGAACACCAGUGGCGAAGGCGGCUCACUGGCUCGAUACUGACGCUGAGGUGCGAAAGCGUGGGGAGCAAACAGGAGUAGAAACCCCAGUAGUCCCAUGA